GCCAGCGGUUAUGGCACGUUAAAUGCACCCAUUAGUUCCAACGGUGAACAUAAGUGAAGCAACGUUGUGUGUGGUUCGUAUCUGAAUGGAUGACCGUCGGGGGCAUCCUCCUGCCACUGACU
rnacentral:rRNA from 1 species